GGGUUCGAACGGGAUCUACGUAUUGCUUAGUUUUUUUUUUCCUUUUUUCUUCUUUUUGUCAUUCUCCAUGUGUUUAUAACCUAAGUUUUUAGCAAAGACAUGUUACACUCAAAUUUAUUUGCACCAACACAUGUUAACCAUGCAAUGCAAAACCCUUUCCUUUCCCUUCUUUCCUUUUUUUUUUUUUAAUUUUUCUGCGCACAAAGGAUGAAAGAAGACGUCUCUUUGUCCUUCAAUUCUCUCUUCCUUUUUUCUUUUUGUUUUUGUUUCAUGAUGGAUUUCCUUCAAUUUAUUUAGCCUUGUUUGGGAGAGAUUGAAGCUGGAAAUAAUCGUUACCGUGGCAGCCAUGGAUUCCGACGAGUUCGCACUGUUUUGGCAAUCCCAGGUGUUAAGGUCAUACGUCCAGACCAUGGUCAGAUCUCUACAUAAAUCUCUCAGCUCUAUGCAAAUUAGAUAAUAUGCUUUUUGAGAUAUUGGAUAGCUUUGAUAAUGUAGAGUCCUUGUAUGUUGACCACUGAAUCCUAGCCCCCAGAUGCUGAUGGGUUUUCAUUACUGUUUCUAAAUCAAAGAAUGCCUUGGCUAAGACAAAGACAAAUGAAGGUGGAAAAAAUGAGAAAGUUAAAGAUGAUUUAAUACCAAGCAGAAACUUUUAUAUCUAGAAAGAAGCUUUCAAGGUUAUGGACGAGGAAGUCAAGCUUCAAGAGCACUUAAAUUGCUCUUUGCAGUGAAACCACAAUAAUUGUUAUGAUACAGGUAAUCAUCCAGAUUUGGAAAAAAAAAAAAUUAUGCAAUAAUUAUUAAGUUUAUUGGGAACUUUAUUAGAUGAACUGCAAUAUUUGUGUUCUACUUUGGGUCUUCUAUGCUUUGUUUUGGAUUUUCUUUUGGUAUUGCAUUGUAGGAGGAACUCAAAUACGAUUCCAAGUCUAGCUCAAAAGCAAAAACAGUUCCUGCUUCUAAAAUUGGACACAGCAAAUCUAAUUGGAAUGCAUUUGGUUAUAAUUACCCUUC